GUUUAAUUGUCCCAAUUAAUCUGUUUUAUCAAUACAGUAUAUUUGUUAUCCUUGGGGUUAAUAAGACUUUUGGGGGUGGGUAUUUUAAAAUGAAAUGUUAAAUCUUUGAGUAUAAAAUAACGCAUUUGAAUUGUCAGAUUUUCUCAAGGCAGAGUAUUUAAAUUUUUACCAUUCUGAGUAGGCAAAAUGUAUACUUUUAGUUUUAUUGUAGUAACCACAGUAGAGUUCUUAAAUCACUAGGGAAACCCACUCUAAACUUAAGCCUCCCAAAAGGAAAAGAUUAAUUUUCAUGUAAUAGAAAAAUCCAAUGUAAAGUUAGUCUCAUUUUCUAUGCGCCUCCACCGUAAUUUGGGAGAUUUUGUGGGGGCCUGGGGAGAAUGGGAAAGGAAUAUGAAAUGUUGAUAAAGUCUCAAAUCACUUCGUUGAAACUUGAGUUACAUUCUUUGGAUUCUUUUUCUCAAAUAAUAUCCACUCUAAUAAUUCUGACAUGUUAAGUCUACUUUUCUCUAAUUAUUGACUUUAUUCCCUGCACACAACCUUCUUCCUAUUCAGGAUCAUAACUGUGUAAGACAGGUUUAUGGCUUUGUGGUUAUAAGCUGCUGAGAUCAAGUGCUUAGGUACCUGGGAAUUAUCUGGAAUAUAUGGAACCAGUGUUGGAUCGCUUGGCUUGGCUAGUAAAGUGUUAGAACCUGGCUGGCAGGUUGCUGCCAGUAUUCCCUGGGGCCACUGGCUAUACUCAUUUACUUUGUGUACUAGCAACUCUUACUAGAGAAAAAAACAAUUACCACUCUUGUUUAUGCCUAUUCUUGAGUUGCUAAGAACAGGUCUGUUUGCAGGGAAGUAUGCUGAUGAUAUUUCCACCUAAAUACUUUUUUAAUGUAUUAGAAAAUGCUACUGCAUUUCAUCUCUUAAUAGUCCAAAUGAUCUAGAAAUGAGACACUGUUUUUAAGGUAUUAAUACAUAUAGUGUAU
rnacentral:lncRNA from 1 species